UGUGUAUAGUCAACAGUUAUUCAUCUGGCGUUCUAUCAAACAGAGUUUUCUAUAAUAUGGUAUCCGUGACUGUUUCCAAUACAAUAAAAAUGCUGUAAAAUCUUGAAAUGCUUUUCAAAAGAAUACUUUAUAGAAUAGCAUGUACAGCUGUAGUGUUGAGCUUAUUUUGCUGUACUUUAUUAAUCUUUUCCAAAACAUGUAAAUAAUGAAGUCUGCUGCACACCACAUCUGGAUUUCAUGAUUAUUCUGUAAGACUUAUACAAUAGAUGGCCCUUCAUUUAGGGAAGUAGUACAUACACCAGAAUGUGCCUUUUCUUUUUAAGAUUUAAAACAAUGGAAAAAGCCACUGAAGUAUGUAUAGUAUCUGUGUGCCGAGAUACACAGGAAAGCGUGGAUCGUGUGGAUGGAAGGAACCGGGAUCAUCUCAUCCAGCUGAGUAAUAAGUACGUUUGGUGCAGUGCCACACAGGAGGCCACCAGCAGAGCCCAGAGUAGUAACUGGGUUUCUUCACUCUUAGCCUCUCAAGUGAUGAGACCAAGGCAUGAUCUUAUCUCUUGAUUGUGGCCACCAGUAAAGAAAAGCAUAUCUCUAAUCUCAGAAGCACAAGGAGUUCAUACAGGAAACCAAGAUUAGAACAUCAUGCUAUCAUCUUUCAAAAUUACUAUGCAGGAUCGGUGGAACACUGGACACUGACGGAGUGGGCCCUGCAUCCUUCACUGCUUCCUCAUGGAGGGAUCUCCAGGAAGGGGGCCCCCUUUGCCUGUCUCCUCCCUUUGUGGCGAAUAUGGGUGGGGGAUGGAUCUGGGCAUGCUCAGAUCAGCCCCUCCCUUGCUCUUCUGUCUUUGGAUCUUGCUCGCAAUCAGAGGGCUUUUUCUUCCUGUUUUUUGGAGGGUGGGAUCUGCGUGGAGCUGUUCAAUGCUGCCUGUGACUGGGUGUUAGUAUGCUUAGCUCACGGUGAAGAAUAAGACAGCUCAUGAGGCCCAGCAGUACAUCCCCUUUCUCCUCUGAGUUUUCCCCAGUACAAAUCUGGUGCUUGGAUCUCUUUCUGACUCCUCAGUUUAUCUGUCAAAUGGUUCCAAACUUGAGUAGGGAGAGAGGAUCAUCCCCUGUCAAAUGUACACUAUUCAUGCACUGUAAUGGCGUAAAAGAACCCUAGACACGUGGGCUCCCUUGCUAACAAGUGCACCUUCAAAGCAAUAGUCAUUAUUUAGCAUUUAUCGGAAGAGGCUGGCCCCAGCUCUGGUGAAGGGCAGAGAAGGUGUGGGUGGCCUCACACGUUCUCAAUGUCACAAAAUGAUAGCAUUAAACAGACCCACUCCCUCAUGGAAGGCGAUGUGACGACCUUCUAUUGAUAUUGCAACAUGUGUCUCUGGCAGCAGGAUCUCAGUCCUUACGUAAGGGAUAUGGGAUGACUUCCUCCACUUCAUGUAUAUGCUCUCCCUAUGCAGAUCUGGCAGAUGCAAAUUUAUCCAUAUCUUUUCAUUACCAAUGAAGUUUUAGUAUCCACAUUCCGUCUGUGUAACCCUUUUUAUUUCAGCUGAUCUAAAUAAUUAGUUCAGAUUUACCCUGACAAAUGGCUUUUACCAUUUUUAGUUUCUUACCUUAUAACAAAACACUGCCAUCAAGUUUUCAUUAUGAAAAUGGCUGAUGGCAAGGGACCAUAUGAGAGAGUGCAGUCAACAACACAGUCUUUUUGCCCAACAGAAUUUGACAUUUUUGGCUUAGAGAAUUAAAGCACAAUGACUGUUCCUGAAAAUCAGCACAGUAGUUGUAAUAAAACUUUUUUCUUGGCUGGGCACAGUGUUGCAUGCCUGUAAUCUCAGCACUUUGGGAGGUUGAGGUGGGAGGAUCACUUGAGCCCAGAUCUUGAGACCAGCCUAGGUAACACAGUGAAACCUCGUCUAUGCUAAAA